rnacentral:rRNA from 1 species
UACGUAGGGGGCGAGCGUUGUCCGGAAUUACUGGGCGUAAAGGGCGUGUAGGCGGUCAAUUAAGUUAGAUGUGAAAGACCCGGGCUUAACUCGGGGAUUGCAUUUAAGACUGGUAGACUUGAGUACAGGAGAGGAAAGUGGAAUUCCUAGUGUAGCGGUGAAAUGCGUAGAUAUUAGGAGGAACACCAGUGGCGAAGGCGACUUUCUGGACUGUAACUGACGCUGAGGCGCGAAAGCGUGGGUAGCAAAC